AUUCCAGCUCCAAUAGCGUAUACUAAAGUUGUUGCAGUUAAAACGCUCGUAGUCGGAUUUCGGGGCGGGCCGACCGGUCUGCCGAUGGGUAUGCACUGGCCGGCGCGUCCUUCCUUCCGGAGACUGCGCCUACUCUUAGCUGAGCGGGCGUGGGAGACGGAUCGUUUACUUUGAAAAAAUCAGAGUGUUUCAAGCAGGCAGCUCGCUCUUGCAUGGAUUAGCAUGGGAUAAUGAAAUAGGACUCUGGUGCUAUUUUGUUGGUUUCGAACACCGGAGUAAUGAUUAACAGGGACAGUCAGGGGCACUCGUAUUCCGUCGAGAGAGGUGAAAUUCUCAGACCAAUGGAAGACGAACCACUGCGAAAGCAUUUGCCAGGGAUGUUUUCAUCA
rnacentral:rRNA from 1 species